GCCACCUGAAGGGACGUUUAAGACUAAGACGUUGAUAGGCUGGGUGUGUAAGUGCAGCGAUGCAUUGAGCUAACCAGUACUAAUGACCCGAGAGGCUUAACCUU
rnacentral:rRNA from 1 species